GAGUAACGCGUGGGUAACCUACCCUUGAAUCUGGGAUAACUCCGUGAAAACGGCGCUAAUACCGGAUAUCGUUCCGGAAACUUCGGUUUUCGGGAUGAAAGGUGACCUCUUCAUGAAAGUUGCCGUUCAGGGAUGGGCCCGCGUCCCAUUAGCUUGUUGGUGGGGUAAUGGCCUACCAAGGCUUCGAUGGGUAGCUGGUCUGAGAGGAUGAUCAGCCACACUGGAACUGACACACGGUCCAG
rnacentral:rRNA from 1 species